UGGCGGACGGGUGAGUAACGCGUAAAGAACUUGCCCUUUAGACUGGGAUAACAGAGGGAAACUUCUGAUAAUACUGGAUAAGUUAGUAUAUCGCAUGAUAUGCAAAUGAAAGCUACGGCACUAAAGGAGAGCUUUGCGUCCUAUUAGCUAGUUGGUAAGGUAAGAGCUUACCAAGGCGAUGAUAGGUAGCCGGCCUGAGAGGGUGGACGGCCACAAGGGGACUGAGAUACGGCCCUUACUCCUACGGGAGGCAGCAGAG
rnacentral:rRNA from 1 species